GCUCAUUGGGAAAUGUGUAAUGAAAGUCAUAAUGCAGGAACAACAUUUUCAAGAGGAACUACAUUAAGCAAGUAUUUUCACAGCAGGUAGCUGUCCAAGGGAGAGAUUGCUGAAGCUUGGUGGCGGUGAUGGUUGUGCAUUGGCAGUGAAGGUCCAGAAGUUUCUCCAGUUCUUAAGAGAGAGGAAUCCCUGGCUCAAGAGAAUGGAGUCACUUGCCCAGGGUCAUCCAACUGAGCUGGUGCCCUUUGCACUCCCCAAGCUGCUUCUCUCUGGGUUUGGUAAAGGUUUUUUGUCUUUACGAGAAACAGCUGCAGGGAGAAGAUACGUGCUGGACUUGGC
rnacentral:lncRNA from 10 species